rnacentral:rRNA from 1 species
UACGGGGGGAGCAAGGCGUUGUUCGGAUUUACUGGGCGUAAAGGGCGCGUAGGCGGUCAGCACAAGUCAGUUGUGAAAUCUCCGGGCUUAACUCGGAAAGGUCAACUGAUACUGUGCGACUAGAGUGCAGAAGGGGCAACUGGAAUUCUCGGUGUAGCGGUGAAAUGCGUAGAUAUCGGGAGGAACACCUGAGGCGAAGGCGGGUUACUGGGCUGAUACUGACGCUGAGGCGCGAAAGCCAGGGGAGCAAACGGG